GACGAACGCUGGCGGCGUGCCUAACACAUGCAAGUCGAGCGGAGGUACUGGAGGAGUAAUCUGAGAGUACUUGAGCGGCGGACGGGUGAGUAACGCGUGAGCAACCUGCCUUUCACAGGGGGAUAACGCAGCGAAAGCUGCACUAAUACCGCAUGAGACCACGGUGGAGAUACCACAGGGGUCAAAGGAGCAAUCCGGUGAGAGAUGGGCUCGCGUCCGAUUAGGUAGUUGGUGAGGUAAAGGCCCACCAAGCCAAUGAUCGGUAGCCGGCCUGAGAGGGUGAACGGCCACAUUGGAACUGAGAGACGGUCCAAACUCCUACGGGAGGCUG
rnacentral:rRNA from 1 species